rnacentral:lncRNA from 1 species
GUAGGUUAGAGACAGAGGAGGCACAGUAAAGAGAUAGAGCUUUUAAAAUAGGGAAACAAAGUCAUGUUAUGAGGGGUUGUUAAAAUCAGCUGGAGUAGGGAUUAUUUAUUUUUAUUAUCUCAACUCUGAGAACUCUGAAAAUCUAAGGCCCCUUCCUGAUACAUAGAGGGGGGAAAUACCACCCUGAUAGAACUAGAAAUGGGAAGUGUUGAGGAUUCUGCUGUGUCUCAGGCAUGGAAUUUAGAUCCUGGGGGCGGGAUGUAGCAGAGAGAGAUUCUUCAAGAAAAGACAAGCUGCACAGCUGCAAGGAGUGAAUUGUGAGACUGACAACUUCCAGAAGUCACUCUUUUCCGGGAGCAGGAGCUAGCCAAUGACUGAACAGUGAUUCACAGGGCCGGCUAUUUCCACCCAAUGUGUACUCCUCUGGAGAGCAGUCAUGGCUCCUGACCUCCCUGUUGGGCUCCAUCAGAUGGCAUCGCAAUCUGAUGAUUUCCCCACCCAUUUCUGCGUUCUUCACUCUUGCACUCCUACUCAGUCUCUAUAUUUGCUUCUCAGAGAACCCAAUGAUCACAGGCAAGCCACAUGGACUUCCUCAUAGGGAAGCUUACAAUAUGGCACCUCACUUUCAUUAUGGAGAGCAAGCAAGAGAGUAAGAGAAGAUAUAAUAACCUAUUUCUGAAGUAAUACGGAUAAUUCUGUGACAAAUCCACUUCAGCCUUGGUAAUGCCCUUCGUUUUGACUUCAAAACAUUCACUGGCUCUCAUGGAUUUGUACUAUUUAACACCCAGAUAAAGGUCACGGACUUGGGAAAUGACCUAAGCAGGAGCUGAAUUCCAUCCCUGGUCUGUUUGGCUCCCAAGCCAUGCUCUUAACCUCUAUAUUCUAGUACUUCCGGAGAAAAGUCAUGAGAAUGAGCAGGGCAUAUGUGAAGAUAGCCUGACUGAAGAAGAAGAGUUCAUGUUGAGUGUGGAGGAAAACAAAGGUCAACAGGCAGAUUGGGACCAAGUUAGAGAGUGCCUGGAAACUCACGAAAAAUUAGAUUUGAUGUAAUAAGAAAUGAGACUUCCUUAUAGAAUUUUUGAACUGGAAGAAGGAUGAUAAAUGGAAGUAUUCAAAGACGUUUCUUUUAUGGCAGGAAGAUUUGGAGAGAGUACAUGAUGACAAUAAGGGUACAGUUGGGAAACUAAUCUAAUGGUUCAAGUAUGAAAUGAUGAAGACCUAAUCUGGAGUGGUCAAUGUGAUCAUGAGUCAAAAGAACGAAUCAACAUAAUUUUGUAACUAAUUAGAUGCAAGGACUGAAGCAGACGAAGGAUGAGUCAAAGAUGACUGGAUAGUUUCAAGCCUGGGGACUGAAGAGGUGGCGCCACGAAGAGUUAAAACGAGGAAAGAACAUGCGGUGGGAGGGCAUGAGUUUAUGUUUAGAAAGGCAGAAGAUACUACCAAUGCCUAAUCCUCCUUCAAAUAACAACUUUUUUCAUUCUUCAUAUACGCCUGUGAUAAUCCAUGUAGGAAAAAUGAUAAAAGACCACAUUGAUGUUUUCUAAAUAUGAAGAAAAUAAAGGACAAUUAAAAUCAGUAAGUUUAUCAUCAUCAACAGCAAAAAACACACAUAUAUAAUUGGCCUAACCAGAAAUGAGGCCUGGCCAACCAUCUCUGCAUGUGUUUGGUUGCCUGUACAUGCUUGCUUUUGUGGUUGAAACUCAAGUGCUUCCU